UGUGCAACCGAUUUAAGUGGUC
rnacentral:snRNA from 1 species